GAGGGCAUAGCUCAAAUGGUAGAGUGUAUGCUUAGCAUUCAUGAGGUCCUAGGUUCAAACCCCAGCACCUCCA
rnacentral:tRNA from 1 species